rnacentral:rRNA from 1 species
AGCCUGAUGCAGCCAUGCCGCGUGUAUGAAGAAGGCCUUCGGGUUGUAAAGUACUUUCAGCAGUGAGGAAGGGGUGUACGUUAAUAGCGUGCAUCUUUGACGUUAGCUGCAGAAGAAGCACCGGCUAACUCCGUGCCAGCAGCCGCGGUAAUACGGAGGGUGCGAGCGUUAAUCGGAAUUACUGGGCGUAAAGCGCAUGCAGGUGGUUUGUUAAGUCAGAUGUGAAAGCCCGGGGCUCAACCUCGGAAUUGCAUUUGAAACUGGCAGACUAGAGUACUGUAGAGGGGGGUAGAAUUUCAGGUGUAGCGGUGAAAUGCGUAGAGAUCUGAAGGAAUACCGGUGGCGAAGGCGGCCCCCUGGACAGAUACUGACACUCAGAUGCGAAAGCGUGGGGAGCAAACAGGAUUAGAUACCCUGGUAGUCCACGCCGUAAACGAUGUCUACUUGGAGGUUGUGGCCUUGAGCCGUGGCUUUCGGAGCUAACGCGUUAAGUAGACCGCCUGGGGAGUACGGUCGCAAGAUUAAAACUCAAAUGAAUUGACGGGGGCCCGCACAAGCGGUGGAGCAUGUGGUUUAAUUCGAUGCAACGCGAAGAACCUUACCUACUCUUGACAUCCAGAGAACUUCCAGAGAUG